UUUUUUUUUAUUUCCGAUUUAAUGUUAUUCAGUUAAGGGGUUUAUUCAUUAAAAAAGAUGGUAUUUUCCAGUUUUCGGACAAUAACUCAAAAAUGUUCUCUGCAGUUCUCAUGAAACUUUGAUGUAUUGUUUAUAUACAUGAUAUAUAUUGACUGAUUUUUAUAAAUAUCUGAUAUGACAUUGAGAAGUUAUCGAAUAUUUCCAAAAGGUGACGGGCGUAUAAUGCACUCAUGGCGUAGCUGUUUAUUUGUUAUGGAAUACUUUUUUCAGCAUUUAUUUUUGUACAAAUAUCGAAACUCACACA
rnacentral:lncRNA from 1 species